GUUGUAGAUACAUGUAUUUGUUUUUUAAAAAUUAUUUAACCAGCAUAUAGAAUGUCAUUGGGGGGUUUAAUCCAUUCACAUUGUUGAUAGGUAAGAAUUUAGUAUUGUCAUUUUGUCUAUUAUUUUCUAUCCUGUAAUUAUUUUCUUCAUUUUCUCUUGAGUCUUUUCUGAUUAUGUUUUAUGGGUAUAUGUUUGGUUUGUUUAUACUUUCUCUUUCUUUUUUCUUUUUGUGACACUGAAGAUUGAACCAGGGCCUUGUGUAUGCUAGGUCCAACAAAUGCUCCACAUGAGACAAGAAAGAAUACAAAAUUAUGUUUCAGUCUCUAAACAGGGAUUGAACUCGGGACCUUGGGCUUGUGAGGCAGGUGGUGGAACCACUGAGAGUCUCAUGAGGAUGCAAGUAAGAAAAAGUGCUGCAGUCAUUUCUAGGUCCUACCAGGGUGUUGAUCUUGAAAGGGAAUUUGUAGGCAGGAAGAUAUAUUUCUAACAAAAAAUAACUAAAUUAGACAACCAUGAGUUAUCUGUGUUAUUAAGCAACUAUCUGUUAACUGGGUAACUAUGCUCUAUGUAGAAUGUACCUGAAUAUCUAUGACAGCUUCUGCAAUUUGUCACCACAGGAACAUAAUGAACUCAGAAUGUCUUCCUAGAACUCUUUGCUGUAACCCCCUCCACCUCCCACUGCUCUGCUUUGUGUAAACUCUGCUUGCUAUAUUCCCAGGGAAACUCCAAUGGAAUUAAAACUCAUAGAUGUAAAAAAUGUCAAAUAACUAACCAACCAAAGACUUCUAAAUGCUCUGCUUCUGCUUCUGUACCUCCUGCUUGCAACCCUAUAAAACUGCUGGCCCACUGAUAUUUUGGUCCUGACUUCUUUGGGAGUGAUCUCAGUCAGGUCUGUCAAUGUAAUAAACAAG
rnacentral:lncRNA from 1 species